rnacentral:snRNA from 1 species
UUUUUACGUAUAAUAUCAUUC